CGGCGAGUGGCGAACGGGUGGGUAAUAUAUCGGAACGUGCCCAUUAGUGGGGGAUAGCCCGGCGAAAGCCGGAUUAAUACCGCAUACGACCUGAGGGUGAAAGCGGGGGAUCGCAAGACCUCGCGCUAUUGGAGCGGCCGAUAUCAGAUUAGCUAGUUGGUGGGGUAAAGGCCUACCAAGGCAACGAUCUGUAGUUGGUCUGAGAGGACGACCAGCCACACUGGGACUGAGACACGGCCCAG
rnacentral:rRNA from 1 species